rnacentral:lncRNA from 1 species
GUCAGUAGGCUUUUCCAUUAUUUGAGCAAGGCGCCAGCUCUCCACCUCGGAUUUGGCCAGUUGGACCGUCUCAAGUAGGGUGGUGUCUUUGCCGUUAAAAGCUUUAUCGUUACGAGCUUUCCAGAUGUACCAUAUCACCCACGGAGCUGUAGUUAGGAGUGUGUCGGGGAUCCCACGCUCCUGAGCGCACCAUAGAACAUGGUCUAGAUUAAUGUAUAUUGAGG